rnacentral:rRNA from 1 species
UAAGGAAUAUUGGUCAAUGGACGCAAGUCUGAACCAGCCACGCCGCGUGAAGGAUGAAGGUCCUCUGGAUUGUAAACUUCUUUUAUCUGGGACGAAAACGGGAUUUUUAUCUCAAUUGACGGUACCAGAGGAAUAAGCACCGGCUAACUCCGUGCCAGCAGCCGCGGUAAUACGGAGGGUGCGAGCGUUAUCCGGAUUUACUGGGUUUAAAGGGUGCGUAGGUGGGCUUAUAAGUCAGUGGUGAAAUCUCCGAGCUUAACUUGGAAACUGCCGUUGAUACUAUAGGUCUUGAAUUAUCUGGAGGUAAGCGGAAUAUGUCAUGUAGCGGUGAAAUGCUUAGAUAUGACAUAGAACACCAAUUGCGAAGGCAGCUUACUACAUAUAAAUUGACGCUGAGGCACGAAAGCGUGGGGAUCAAACA